UGGAAUGGCUGGAGGAAUGUGGUGUAAGGCUAGACUGUAUUGUGACAGACCGACAUCCCCAGAUUCAAAAGUUUCUGAAAGAACGAAAUGUCACACAGUACUAUGAUGUCUGGCAUUUGGAGAAAGGGUUGUCAAAGAAGUUAGAGCAAAUUGCCAGAGACAAGGACUGUUCAAUAGUGAAAAAGUGGCAGCACAACAUAAGAAACCAUCUCUACUGGACUGCAGCAUCCUCUACAUCAGGACCAGAGAAGGUUCAAAACCACUUUACAGAGUCGAAAAGGUGCUGACUAACAACAGAGUCCUCAAAGAUGUAGCAAAGCUCAGCCCUCACUUCCAGAACUCAUCCUUGGAGGCCUUUCACAGUGUUAUUUUACGCUUUGCCCCCAAAAGUGUGGUAUUUCCUUUUAUUGAAAUGCUGUGCAGGUUGUAUUUGGCUGGCAUGCAUUUCAAUGAAAAUUCAAACCGUCCAAAGGCUACUACAUCAUCUGGAAAGCCAAUGUACAGACUUUUGUUCCCCAAGGCUAAAAAAGGAUUGUACACCAUAAAACCAGUGACAUCCAACCCAACGUACUGUAAGUUUGAAUAGAUGUUUUAAUUAGUAAUUUACAAAAAAAUAAACUAAAUGCAAUACACAAAAGUGCAUAGAACUUAAAUUACAGUAUUUAAAAACAAAAUUCCAUGCUACGUCUACAAUCUGAUGACACUGCUUUUUGAAAAGUUUCUGCUAGAUCCUUUUCCCUACAUGGAGGAACUGCAUAAAAUUACAGUGCCUGACAAUCUAUGCACACAGUAUGACAGACCUUCAUUGGAGGAGGCCAUUGCUGAGCACGUGUCAAGGUUUAGUUAAGGGGCAGUUUGAAUCCGACAUAGCUGCCUUCCGCAUCUGGGAAUUUUUGCCGUAUACACAGGACAACACAUGAUGGUAUUACAACCCUACAACUUUCUGCCUAGAUAGCCCCAGCACCAACUGACAAAGCUUCUGUAAGCCAAAUGCCUGUAGCGCCUGAUGGAAACAGAGAAAAGACAUUUCAGAUUAUACAUUCAAAAGGUGUUUUGUAAAGUGUUGUGUGUGUGUGUGUGUGUGUGUGUGUGUGUAU